rnacentral:rRNA from 1 species
CUACGGGAGGCAGCAGUGAGGAAUAUUGCACAAUGGGGGGAACCCUGAUGCAGCAACGCCGCGUGGAGGAUGACGCAUUUCGGUGUGUAAACUCCUUUUAUAUGUCAAGAAAAUGACGGUAGCAUAUGAAUAAGCACCGGCUAACUCCGUGCCAGCAGCCGCGGUAAUACGGAGGGUGCAAGCGUUACUCGGAAUCACUGGGCGUAAAGGACGCGUAGGCGGGUUGGAAAGUCAGGUGUGAAAUCCUACAGCUUAACUGUAGAACUGCACUUGAAACUUCUAAUCUAGAGUAUGGGAGGGGGAGAUGGAAUUAGUGGUGUAGGGGUAAUAUCCGUAGAUAUCACUAGGAAUACCUAAAGCGAAGGCGAUCUCCUGGAACAUUACUGACGCUAAGGCGUGAAAGCGCGGGGAGCAAACAGGAUUAGAUACCCCGGUAGUC